UUUUGUACAAAAGAAAAUUUAAGGUAUUUGUCGCGCGACUGGUCACUGUCAAAAGUUUGUAUCCGUUGACUGUACUUAUGAAACGAUUAUGAAUGCGAGUUUCCGAAAAACUUUUGCGGACGUACAGUUUGACAUACAGAUGUUCUCAAUGUAUAUUCAUAACCUCUCGCAUGAAAAACGAUCGUGGCAACGUCGCAAGUUUGGCGUAUGGCCGUCUUUAAAAUUUCGCGCCAAAAGUAGCAGACAAGCUGUAGUAUUUAACAAGCGCUAUUGCCACGUUUACGAAUUCACCU